rnacentral:rRNA from 1 species
AAUAGAUACCCCGGUAGUCCACGCCCUAAACGAUGUCUACUAGUUGUCGGGUCUUAAUUGACUUGGUAACGCAGCUAACGCGUGAAGUAGACCGCCUGGGGAGUACGGUCGCAAGAUUAAAACUCAAAGGAAUUGACGGGGACCCGCACAAGCGGUGGAUGAUGUGGAUUAAUUCGAUGCAACGCGAAAAACCUUACCUACCCUUGACAUGGUCGGAAUCCUGGAGAGAUCCGGGAGUGCUCGAAAGAGAACCGAUACACAGGUGCUGCAUGGCUGUCGUCAGCUCGUGUCGUGAGAUGUUGGGUUAAGUCCCGCAACGAGCGCAACCCUUGUCAUUAGUUGCUACGAAAGGGCACUCUAAUGAGACUGCCGGUGACAAACCGGAGGAAGGUGGGGAUGACGUCAAGUCCUCAUGGCCCUUAUGGGUAGGGCUUCACACGUCAUACAAUGGUGCAUACAGAGGGCUGCCAACCCGCGAGGGGGAGCUAAUCCCAGAAAGUGCAUCGUAGUCCGGAUUGUAGUCUGCAACUCGUA